rnacentral:rRNA from 1 species
UACGGGGGGGGCAAGCGUUGUUCGGAAUUACUGGGCGUAAAGGGCUCGUAGGCGGCCAACUAAGUCGGAUGUGAAAUCCCCAGGCUUAACCUGGGAACUGCAUCCGAUACUGGAUGGCUUGAAUUCGGGAGAGGGAUGCAGAAUUCCAGGUGUAGCGGUGAAAUGCGUAGAUAUCAGGAGGAACACCCGUGGUGCAGACGGCUUGCUGGACCGUGACUGACGCUGAGGCACGAAAGCGUGGGUAGCAAACAGG